UACGAAGGGGGCUAGCGUUGCUCGGAAUCACUGGGCGUAAAGGGUGCGUAGGCGGGUUUUUAAGUCAGGGGUGAAAUCCUGGAGCUCAACUCCAGAACUGCCUUUGAUACUGAAGAUCUUGAGUCCGGGAGAGGUGAGUGGAAUUUACGGUGUAGCGGUGAAAUGCGUAGAUAUCGUAAGGAAGACCAGUGGCGAAGGCGGGUCUCUGGACGGUUCCUGACGCUGAGGCACGAAGGUCAGGGGAGCAAACGGG
rnacentral:rRNA from 1 species